CGAAAAGCCUAUGAAAACGUUACAUUUUUCUCUGUUGGUGCUGUUCUUGCUUCAUUAUGAAUUCAUUUUUACUCCCAUGAGAGUUCCAUGGAAUUUCCAUGGAAUUUGUGCUUUCGAGUUGUUUGUGCUGAAACGCAUUUUCUCGUAUAAUACUCCGUACACUUUGAAAUGGCGAUGCCACGAUGCUACGAGUUCCUCCGUAGCAACAACAUAAACUUGGUUCGCCAAAGUUUCACGAAAGAAUAUCCAGAUGUACGAUGCCCUUCACGUGCGAAUACGUG